UCGCUAGCAAUUCUGUCAACAUUAUUGUCUAUGAGAUGGUACUCCUUGAAUCAGAGUAUGCAACCACAUUUGGUGACCUCAGCUCAACAAUAUACACUAGGACCAAAGACAUGGGACUUACAGUAGAGGGGCAGACUUCUCAUCCUGAGUGUGAAAAAGUGCUACUAACUCAAUGAUUGUGAACAUUAAAAGAGAUCAUCCGGCCCUCCCUGGUGGUGCAGCGGGUUAAAGCACAGCAUUAAGAAGCUGAAACCACUUCCGCAU